CUUCCAGACAUCAGUAUUAUUAAUCUACGAUUCGUGUAGUUUAACAUGGUGUGCUCGUUAUAUUUUUCGAUGAAUUUUUCAGUCGCAUUUUGAUCCGUCUGAACCUUUUAACCGUUCAAAAAUCAUUUUAGAAUUAAAAGAAACGUUGUAUUUUUCCAAUAAGUUUAUUUCGCACUGAUCAUUUUAAUGCGUUCAAUUUAAUUUUUCGAGCAUAUUCGUUCCCGACUUUUAU
rnacentral:lncRNA from 1 species